AUGUUGGGCUCUGGUGUUAUUAGAAGGAGUAAUAGUCCCUUUUCUUCACCUAUCUUAUUGGUCAAAAAGAAAGAUCAUACUUGGAGGAUUGUAGUGGACUACAUACAUUUAAAUGCACUUACAGUCAAGGGAAAUUAUCCUAUGCCUGUGAUAGAUGAGCUCCUAGAUGAAUUAUAUGGUGCUCAAUGGUUUACAAAGCUGGAUCUCAGGGCUGGUUAUCAUCAAAUUAGAUUAGCACCUGGAGAGGAAUACAAGACAGCUUUCCAAACCCACCAUGGUCAUUUUGAGUUUCUGGUGGUUGGUUUUGGCUUAACAUGGGCACCUAACACCUUCCAAGGUGCCAUCAAUGUUUCUCUAUCACAAGAACCUGAAAUGCUGAGAACUUUUGUAUUGGCCUUCUUUGAUGAUAUUCUGAUUUUCAGUAAAACACUGAAGCAGCAUUUGGAACAUGUCAGAAGAGUGUUGGAAGUACUCAGAAAGGACAAGUGGUAUGUCAAAUUUUCCAAAUUUGAGUUUGCCUCUCAAAAGUUAUUGUAUCUGGGUCACAUUAUCAACAAGGAUGGUGUUUCUACUAACCCUGAGAAGGUCAGUACUAUUGAGCAAUGGCCCACACCAAUGUCAGUAAAGGAGGUGAGAAGUUUUCUUGGGCUGGCUGGCUACUACAGGAAAUUCAUUCGUCACUUUGGAGUUAUUGCUAAACCCAUGACUAAUCUCCUACGCAAAGGCAGUGUGUUCGUUUGGACUAGCAUAGAAGAAACAGCUUUCCAGACUCUUAAAAGGGCUCUGGUUACUGCUCCUGUUUUGGCUCUUCUAAAUUUUCAGAAAACCUUCACUAUUGAAACAGAUGCUAGUGAUUGUGGGAUUGGGGCUGUACUAACACAGGAUGGGCAUCCUCUGGCUUUUGUUAGCAGGGCUUUGGGACCAAAAAACCAGACACUGUCAGUUUAUGAAAAGGAGUUUUUGGCAAUUCUCUUAGUAGUGGAGCAGUGGCGAUCUUAUCUGCAACUGAAAGAAUUCAGCAUUAUCACUGAUAAAAAAGCCCUGGUUAGUUUAACAGAACAACGCUUGCACACUACCUGGCAACAAAAAGCUCUCACUAAGCUAUGGGGUUUGGAUUAUAAGAUUGUGUACAGGAAGGGGGCAGAUAACAGAGUUGCAGACGCCUUAUCUAGACGUCCGCAUGAGCCUGGUGACUGCUAUAUAAUUUCGGAAGUACAACCAGCAUGGCUGCAAGAGAUCAUGAACAGUUACUACCAUGAUCCUAGUGCAACAACCAUUUUGCAAAAACUAUCUGUUGAUCCAACGUCAGAUCCUAAGUUCACAUUGCAUGGUGGUCUGCUUCGUUUCAAGAAGCACAUUUGGAUUGGUUCUGACAAAAGUCUGCAGCACAAAAUCAUCAAUAGUUUGCAUCCCAGUUCAGCCGGUGGACAUUCUGGUUUCCCAGUUACUUACCGCAGAAUAUCAUAG
rnacentral:rRNA from 1 species